rnacentral:rRNA from 1 species
GACCCGGGGGGGCGUGCUAAUACAUGCAAGUCGAACGAGUUCUGAUUAUUGAAAGGUGCUUGCAUCUUGAUUUAAUUUUGAACGAGUGGCGGACGGGUGAGUAACACGUGGGUAACCUGCCCUUAAGUGGGGGAUAACAUUUGGAAACAGAUGCUAAUACCGCAUAAAUCCAAGAACCGCAUGGUUCUUGGCUGAAAGAUGGCGUAAGCUAUCGCUUUUGGAUGGACCCGCGGCGUAUUAGCUAGUUGGUGAGGUAACGGCUCACCAAGGCAAUGAUACGUAGCCGAACUGAGAGGUUGAUCGGCCACAUUGGGACUGAGACACGGCCCAAACUCCUACGGGAGGCAGCAGUAGGGAAUCUUCCACAAUGGACGCAAGUCUGAUGGAGCAACGCCGCGUGAGUGAAGAAGGCUUUCGGGUCGUAAAACUCUGUUGUUGGAGAAGAAUGGUCGGCAGAGUAACUGUUGUCGGCGUGACGGUAUCCAACCAGAAAGCCACGGCUAACUACGUGCCAGCAGCCGCGGUAAUACGUAGGUGGCAAGCGUUAUCCGGAUUUAUUGGGCGUAAAGCGAGCGCAGGCGGUUUUUUAAGUCUGAUGUGAAAGCCCUCGGCUUAACCGAGGAAGUGCAUCGGAAACUGGGAAACUUGAGUGCAGAAGAGGACAGUGGAACUCCAUGUGUAGCGGUGAAAUGCGUAGAUAUAUGGAAGAACACCAGUGGCGAAGGCGGCUGUCUGGUCUGUAACUGACGCUGAGGCUCGAAAGCAUGGGUAGCGAACAGGAUUAGAUACCCUGGUAGUCCAUGCCGUAAACGAUGAAUGCUAGGUGUUGGAGGGUUUCCGCCCUUCAGUGCCGCAGCUAACGCAUUAAGCAUUCCGCCUGGGGAGUACGACCGCAAGGUUGAAACUCAAAGGAAUUGACGGGGGCCCGCACAAGCGGUGGAGCAUGUGGUUUAAUUCGAAGCAACGCGAAGAACCUUACCAGGUCUUGACAUCUUUUGAUCACCUGAGAGAUCAGGUUUCCCCUUCGGGGGCAAAAUGACAGGUGGUGCAUGGUUGUCGUCAGCUCGUGUCGUGAGAUGUUGGGUUAAGUCCCGCAACGAGCGCAACCCUUAUGACUAGUUGCCAGCAUUUAGUUGGGCACUCUAGUAAGACUGCCGGUGACAAACCGGAGGAAGGUGGGGAUGACGUCAAAUCAUCAUGCCCCUUAUGACCUGGGCUACACACGUGCUACAAUGGAUGGUACAACGAGUUGCGAGACCGCGAGGUCAAGCUAAUCUCUUAAAGCCAUUCUCAGUUCGGACUGUAGGCUGCAACUCGCCUACACGAAGUCGGAAUCGCUAGUAAUCGCGGAUCAGCACGCCGCGGUGAAUACGUUCCCGGGCCUUGUACACACCGCCCGUCACACCAUGAGAGUUUGUAACACCCGAAGCCGGUGGCGUAACCCUUUUAGGGAGCGAGCCGUCUAAGUGGACAAAAGUG